rnacentral:rRNA from 1 species
GAGUAACACGUGGGUAACCUGCCCUAAAGUGGGGGAUAACAUUUGGAAACAGAUGCUAAUACCGCAUAAAACCUAACACCGCAUGGUGUAGGGUUGAAAGAUGGUUUCGGCUAUCACUUUAGGAUGGACCCGCGGUGCAUUAGUUAGUUGGUGAGGUAAAGGCUCACCAAGACCGUGAUGCAUAGCCGACCUGAGAGGGUAAUCGGCCACACUGGGACUGAGACACGGCCCAGACUCCUACGGAGGCAGCAGUAGGGAAUCUUCCACAAUGGACGAAAGUCUGAUGGAGCAACGCCGCGUGAGUGAAGAAGGUUUUCGGAUCGUAAAACUCUGUUGUUGGAGAAGAAUGUAUCUGAUAGUAACUGAUCAGGUAGUGACGGUAUCCAACCAGAAAGCCACGGCUAACUACGUG